rnacentral:rRNA from 1 species
CAGUCGCCGCGGUAAUACGUAGGUGGCAAGCGUUGUCCGGAAUUAUUGGGCGUAAAGCGCGCGCAGGCGGAUAGGUCAGUCUGUCUUAAAAGUUCGGGGCUUAACCCCGUGAUGGGAUGGAAACUGCCAAUCUAGAGUAUCGGAGAGGAAAGUGGAAUUCCCAGUGUAGCGGUGAAAUGCGUAGAUAUUAGGAAGAACACCAGUGGCGAAGGCGACUUUCUGGACGAAAACUGACGCUGAGGCGCGAAAGCCAGGGGAGCGAACGGGAUUAGAUACCCGCGUAGUCCCUGUCUCUUAUACA